rnacentral:tRNA from 1 species
UCCCUGGUGGUCCUGUGGCUAAGACACUGUACUCCCAAUACAGGGGCCUUGGUUUGAUCCCUGUCAGGGAA